GGCAGGAGGAGCGGCCUGGCUUUGUCUGAGUCAGGCAGCCCAGCGUGUGGGAUGCCAGGCUGGAUGUGCUGGGCCUGACCAGCCGCCCGCUUUCCUCUUCUCUUGCCUCUGCCUGCCCCCUGGUGGACAGCUGGGGUAAAGCAUGGGAGUGCGCCUUUGGGGUCUCAGUGGGGCUGAAAUACGACUCCUCCCCUAGGACAGCCUGCCUUCCCCAGCCUUGUUCUCCGGCAAAGUCAAUUUCCUGGAGAAUCGAGGCUCUGCCUCAGAUGUUCGGAGCCUCCGCAGGAUGAACACCUCCAUUUCAAUUCCAGGGGCUUUGAUCAACCUGUGCCUCCCUUGAUCCCCAACUUGUGGGCACCUUCCCUUGAGCAGUGCCCCCACGAGGUACACCUUUCCCGGGAAACAAAAAUCAUUCCUUCUUUGGGUCCUGCAAGCUGUAAAGAACCAAUACAGCACUGUGCUACUGAACAUGUUGCCACUAUAGAAGCCCCUUGUGUUUUGAAGAGUACAUCUCUAUAGCCAUUCGUUUAUUCAUCAGAAACCAGCUAGAAGCCAGGCCCUGUGCUGGGCGCUGGAGACAUGGAAGAAACUGGGCUGAGGCUCCCGCCUUGAAGAGCUUGUGGCCCAGGGAAGGGACAGUUCAUCUGUCAUUGAUUGCCACGUGACAGUGUCUAUGAUGCUAAAAAGAUGCCAGUGCUGUGCUGCAGGAGCAAAGGCCGUGGAGGAAGAGGCUUUGGCUUUGUUGCGAGUCCUUGCCAGAGCCAGGCAAAGCCAGUCACCGCUUUGUUCAGAUGACUCAGGUAAAUAAAUGAGGCCGCACAGGCUGUCCUGACACCACACACCUCUAGAAUACCCUGGCUGUGCUGGGAGCUAUUGGUGUCAGCUGAGUAUUUUCAUCCCUGUCCAAGUCACAAUGAUCUGACUGUACCAGCCUGUGUGGAUGUUGCUAAGAGGAGGCAGACAGCACCAUGAGCUCCCUUAGAUGACGAUCGGCAUGAUGUUCCUGCUGUGGCAGCGCUCAGCUCUUGCCAAUGCUCUUCUCUGCUUUGCUCACUUUAAGCCUCCCUUAAUUUUUUUGAAGCCCAGUUUCCACAUUGCUGAUUCACAGAUAUGCAAGACUCAGGCAGGAAAAAAAAAAGUGUCUCCUUUUCCAGACUUCUUAGAGGACUUGGAAAGAAAAUGAAAUGACGUUGAACGAAAUCAAAGUAAAUUGAGUGAUCUGAAACGAUUUGAUGUCAGCAAGAAUUCCCCAUACAGCUCACAGCCCUACCCCGAGCACGCCUCCCUCUUGGCUCUCUGCAGGCCCAAACCUUGCAGAAGCCAUUCCAUGUUUCCUGAGCAGGAAAAGACAAACUCAGACCGACAACCUUGGACUUCAAAAGACUGCACACAAGGGGAGGAAGGACUGAGAGUACCAAGGCGUGAGAAUUCAGAAUGCUGCUAUCUCAUUUAUUUUUACCAUUUAGGAAACGUUUUGAUCUGCAUUCCUUUUCCCUUCCCUGAUUUCAAAAAAUAAAAAUAAAAAUGCUUCGGUUCUGAGGA
rnacentral:lncRNA from 1 species